rnacentral:rRNA from 1 species
CAAUAGCGUAUAUUAAAGUUGUUGCGGUUCAACAGCUCGUAGUUGGAUUUCUGCUGACGACGACCGGUCCGCCCACUGGGUGAGCAUCUGGUUCGGCCUUGGCAUCUUCUUGGUGAACGUAUCUGCACUUGACUGUGUUCAAAAUUAGAGUGUUUCAAGCAGGCAUACGCCUUGAAUACAUUAGCAUGGAAUAAUAAGAUAGGACCUCGGUUCUAUUUUGUUGGUUUCUAGAGUUGAGGUAAUGAUUAAUAGGGAUAGUGGGGGCGCUUCGUAUUUAAUUGUCGGAGGUGAAAUUAUUGGAUUUGUUAAAGACGGACUACUGCGAAAGCAUUUGCCAAGGAUGUUUUCAUUGAUCAAGAACGAAAGUUAGGGGAUCGAAGACGAUCAGAUACCA